UUUGUAUUAUUCUAAGAAAAAGAUACUUCACUUUCUAUGAAGAGAUAUAUAAUUGAUAUAUACAAAA
rnacentral:tRNA from 1 species